AUGGAGUGGACGUGCGUGUCGUGCGGCGAGGGCCCGGUGAUUCCGGAACCGGCCUCGGGCGUGCUCGUCUGCACCGCCUGCGGCGUUGUCCAUGACGCCGUCGCCGACGAGUUCAUCAACUCCACCUGCUUCACCGAGGGCGGGGAACUCGACCGUCGCGCCGCCACCACCGUCCACCAUAGCUCCCAGUCCCCCUACCUCGACCACAAACUCUACGCCGCCUCCGACGUCAUCACCUCCAUGGCCGCCCGCUUCUCACUCUCGGCCAGCCGCGUCGACGAGGUCCUCAGAAUAGCCCAAUCCGCCACCAACAGGAAUCUCGCCUGCCUGGGCACUGCCUUUCUCCCUGCGCUCGCAGCCGCCUGCACCUUGCUCGUCGCGCGAUCCCACCGCCUUCCGAUCUCCUUCGCCGAGGCCGCUGAGGCCGCGGCCUGCACCACGUUCGUGCUCGCUAACCUUGUGUACCGCAUCGCCUCCCAACUCUACCUCCCUCCCCUCCCGUCCUUUGACUACUCCGCCGCGCUCGAACGCGCGGUGGAACGCUCAGGCAAGCUCACCGAAGCUGCGGGUGAGAAGAGGGAUGCCAUCCUUUCCCAAGCCCGAUUUCUCCUCUGA
rnacentral:rRNA from 1 species